AGUGAAUGCUGAUACAAAUGAAAAACUGAACCAAAGAAGGAAGCCAUUUGCAGAAGAAAACGAAAACACCAAAAGUUUAAUUUGUUCUGCAGUGACCUACAUAGAAGGUGAACUGCCACAGAUUAGAUGAGUAGUCCACUGGGGAUGCCGUGCCAGCACUGCUGCAGCUAUCUCUAAAAGCGCAAGAGAAAUGAUGCGUGCGACCUGGAGUGACAAAAGGGAAGAGGUCUCCAACCUUCAUGCUAAAUCUAGCCCUGACAGAUAACUAAACACUUCUGCUCCAGAACUCAGGGACCACAGAAAAGUGUGAGUUGAAGAGGAGAAGGGGGAGAAUUUGAAUGAUCACACAGGAGCUAAACAACCAGAGGAGUAGCAAGCAGAUGAGAAGAGGUCUCUCGUCCAUGAGGUACUCUGUAUUUUUCAGACUGGGACUAAGCACUGUAGCACUAAUACCCAUUACCAUUGAUGGAACCAACUGCAAAGUGAUAUUUGUUCUCCAUGUCUUGCUUGACCUCCAGAUUGGCUGAUUAACCUUUCCGGAGCAAAAGCUCUUUGCAAAGGGAAGGUAGAUACAAGCACUGGAAGCCAGUGCAGCCCAGCCAGAGUGUUAACCCUGACUCAGGAAAACGGCAGCUCAAGAGGAUAAAUCUCUAUGGUGAUGGAAUUGCUGGUCUCUCUAAGAAUGGUAGCUAGCACUUUUCCAGGGCUGUUAUUUUGUGAUGAGAACCAGAAAUCAAUUAAAUAAUUUAUCUCCUGUGCUAAAU